GACGAACGCUGGCGGCGUGCUUAACACAUGCAAGUCGAACGGAAAGGCCCUGCUUUUGUGGGGUGCUCGAGUGGCGAACGGGUGAGUAACACGUGAGUCACCUGCCCUUUACUUUGGGAUAACUUCAGGAAACUGGGGCUAAUACCGGAUAGGAGCUCCUGCUGCAUGGUGGUGGUUGGAAAGUUUCGGCGGUUGUGGAUGGACUCGCGGCUUAUCAGCUUGUUGGUGGGGUAGUGGCUUACCAAGGCUUUGACGGGUAGCCGGCCUGAGAGGGUGACCGGCCACAUUGGGACUGAGAUACGGCCCAGACUCCUACGGGAGGCAGAAGUGGGGAAUAUUGCACAAUGGGCGGAAGCCUGAUGCAGCAACGCCGCGUGCGGGAUGACGGCCUUCGGGUUGUAAACCGCUUUCGCCUGUGACGAAGCGUGAGUGACGGUAAUGGGUAAAGAAGCACCGGCUAACUACGUG
rnacentral:rRNA from 1 species